ACCUUUUGGUUCGGAACAACACAGGGAAAACUUGUGCUAAUACCGGAUAAGCCCUUACGGGGAAAGAUUUAUCGCCGAAAGAUCGGCCCGCGUCUGAUUAGCUAGUUGGUAGGGUAACGGCCUACCAAGGCGACGAUCAGUAGCUGGUCUGAGAGGAUGAUCAGCCACAUUGGGACUGAGACACGGCCCAAACUCCUACGGGAGGCAGCAGUGGGGAAUAUUGGACAAUGGGGGCAACCCUGAUCCAGCCAUGCCGCGUGAGUGAUGAAGGCCCUAGGGUUGUAAAGCUCUUUUGUGCGGGAAGAUAAUGACGGUACCGCAAGAAUAAGCCCCGGCUAACUUCGUCCCAGCAGCCGCGGUAAUACGAAGGGGGCUAGCGUUGCUCGGAAUCACUGGGCGUCAAGGGUGCGUAGGCGGGUCUUUAAGUCAGGGGUGAAAUCCUGGAGCUCAACUCCAGAACUGCCUUUCAUACUGAAGAUCUUGAGUUCGGGAGAGGUGAGUGGAA
rnacentral:rRNA from 1 species